GACGUAGGGGGCGAGCGUUAUCCGGAUUCACUGGGCGUAAAGGGCGCGUAGGCGGUUACGUAAGUCCGGCGUGAAAUAUCCCGGCUCAACUGGGAGGGUGCGUCGGAUACUGCGUUGACUUGAGGACGGUAGAGGCAGAUGGAACUAGCGGUGUAGCGGUGAAAUGCGCAGAUAUCGCUAGGAACGCCGGUGGCGAAGGCGAUCUGCUGGGCCGUUCCUGACGCUGAUGCGCGAAAGCUAGGGGAGCGAACCGG
rnacentral:rRNA from 1 species